CAAAUACAAUAUUGUCCGCCAGAGAACUACAAGCGAAAAACUCAAAACUCCAAGGACUUGGCGGUGCUCCAUAUCAACCUAGAGGAGCCUGUCCUAUAAUCGAUACCCCACGCUAAACCCUACCAUCUUUUGCCCCUCAGCCUAUAUACCGCCGUCGCCAGCCUACCUUAUGAAAGAAGAACAGUAAGCAAAACAGUUAACAGCAAGCACGUCAGGUCAAGGUGUAGCACACAAGAUGGAAGAGAUGGGCUACAUUCUCUGCCACAGAGCAUACGAAUGGCACAAUGAAACACGAACCUAAAGGUGGAUUUAGUAGUAAGAUGAAUAAGCAACACCAUCUUAAACCCGCUCUGGAGCGCGCACACACCGCCCGUCACCCUCAUCAU
rnacentral:rRNA from 1 species